CCCUUAGAUGUUCUGGGCUGCACGCGCGCUACACUGAUGCGCUCAACGAGUUUAUGACCUUGCCCGGAAGGGUUGGGUAAUCUUUUCAAAACGCAUCGUGAUGGGGAUAGAUUAUUGCAAUUAUUAAUCUUCAACGAGGAAUUCCUAGUAAGCGCAAGUCAUCAGCUUGCGUCGAUUACGUCCCUGCCCUUUGUACACACCGCCCGUCGCUCCUACCGAUUGGGUGUGCUGGUGAAAUGUUCGGAUCGGCCGUUUGUCGCGGUUUCCGCGUCAUGUGGCUGAGAAGUUCAUUAAACCCUCCCACCUAGAGGAAGGAGAAGUCGUAACA
rnacentral:rRNA from 1 species